rnacentral:ncRNA from 2 species
UCAGACAGGCGUGGCGAUUUGUUACCGGAUUGCGGGCCACGUUAAACAUGCCGCUAAAGAGGUCAGGAGGAAAGAGUC